UCAAUGGCAGUUGAGUUAAGACUUGACAACGUAAGACCAUCACCGGACAUGAACGAAGAGG
rnacentral:ncRNA from 1 species